CUACGGGGGGCAGCAGUCGAGAAUCUUCGGCAAUGGACGAAAGUCCGACCGAGCGACGCCGCGUGCGGGAUGAAGGCCUUCGGGUUGUAAACCGCUGUCAGUGGGGAGGAAAUCCAAGGGGGUUAUCCCUCUUGGUUGACCUAUCUUCAGAGGAAGUGCGGGCUAAGUUCGUGCCAGCAGCCGCGGUAAGACGAACCGCACGAACGUUAUUCGGAAUCACUGGGCUUAAAGGGUGCGUAGGCGGCCAUGCAAGUUGGGUGUGAAAUCCCUCGGCUUAACCGAGGAAUAGCGCUCAAAACUGCAUGGCUCGAGGGAGACAGAGGUGAGCGGAACUCAGGGUGGAGCGGUGAAAUGCGUUGAUAUCCUGAGGAACACCAGUUGCGAAAGCGGCUCACUGGGUCUCUUCUGACGCUGAGGCACGAAAGCCAGGGGAGCGAACGGGAUUAGAUACCCCCGUAGUC
rnacentral:rRNA from 1 species